GUCUCUGUAGUGUAAUAGACAGUGUGUUGGACAUCUAAUCCAAAGAACAUGGGUUCGAAUCCCACCAGGGAUG